AGGAACUCGCUCCUUGGAUCAGUGGCGAACGGGUGAGUAACACGUGAGCAAUCUGCCCUUGACUCUGGGAUAACUGCGGGAAACUGUAGCUAAUACCGGAUAUUACCUUGGAAGGCAUCUUCUGGGGUGGAAAGAAUUUUGGUCAAGGAUGAGCUCGCGGCCUAUCAGCUAGUUGGUGAGGUAAUGGCUCACCAAGGCGACGACGGGUAGCCGGCCUGAGAGGGUGACCGGCCACACUGGGACUGAGACACGGCCCAGACUCCUACGGGAGGCAGCAGUGGGGAAUAUUGCACAAUGGGCGCAAGCCUGAUGCAGCAACGCCGCGUGAGGGACGACGGCCUUCGGGUUGUAAACCUCUUUUAGUAGGGAAGAAGCGACUGGGUUUUCCUGGGAGUGACGGUACCUGCAGAAAAAGCACCGGCUAACUACGUGCCAGCAGCCGCGGUAAUACGUAGGGUGCAAGCGUUGUCCGGAAUUAUUGGGCGUAAAGAGCUCGUAGGCGGUUUGUCGCGUCUGCUGUGAAAACCCGAGGCUCAACCUCGGGCCUGCAGUGGGUACGGGCAGACUAGAGUGCGGUAGGGGAGAUUGGAAUUCCUGGUGUAGCGGUGGAAUGCGCANAUAUCAGGANGAACACCNAAUGGCGAAGGCAGAAUCUC
rnacentral:rRNA from 1 species